UUCUACUGUCAAAUCAAAUAAAUUAAUAUUAUAUUUUUUCACUGUACCUAACAUAAUUUUUUCAUAAUCAUAUCCUUACCAAUAUAUCUUCAAUUAAUAAAGUGGUGACUAUUUUGAUGGUUUAUAUGGCAAAGAAUUGCAGCAAGAAGAGAAUAUAUAUUUAGUGAAUUAUCUAUAUAAAUAUAUGAAUCCUCAGUUUGCUUUAACCCUUGAAUGAAAAAUUAUAGGAUUAGAAUGAUAUUAGUGCUUUAGUAUUGAGUGGUCCUUUUAGAGUUAAGUGGUUCAUACUGGAUUAUAAUAUUUAAUCCAAUGUUUAGAAAUAAUGAAAGGAAUUGAUCCAAAAGUUAAAAAUUUGAUAGUAAAAAAGAUCUUUUGCUAUCAAUAAUAUUCUAGCUCAAAACUCUCUCUCUCUCCCUUUCUCUCUCUCUCUAUAUAUAUAUAAAAUAAUCUAUCUAUAUUAUAUUAUAGAUAUAUUAUUCCUCAAUCCUGAGACACGUGGCAGAGGUAGCGCGAACAAGAGCGGGAGCGGGAGCGGGGGCAGGGGCGGGGGCGGGGCGCGGGCGCCUACGGACGCGCUCGAAGGGUGGGCCCCGUGCGGGUGGGGCCCAGCAAGGGGAGAUCGAAGGGAUUUUUUUUUCCCCUCUCUCUUAAAAUUUUUUUCCUUUUCAUAUACAGAAAAAAAAAAAUAAUUUUUUGAAAUUUCAAUCUACUUUGUUAUUUUUUAUUAUAAAAUUUAAAAUAUAUAAAUAAAUUGUUAAAUAGUUUAGACUGUUGAUAUUAAAUAUAAAUAUUAAUUUUAUAAUAUUGAGAAUUCAGAUAUGAAUUGUACAUUAAAAAAUAAAAGAAAAGAUUGAUGGAGUUUACAUUAAUUUUAUAUUUUACGAAAGUUAGUUGCGAGAAUCACAUAAAAUAUACUAACUAAAAUAUUAGUACGCACUAGAUGCAAUCAAAAAUUUUUCUUCUCAUUUCACUGACUAAUGGGGGACUAUCAUACCUACUAAAAAUUUUGGAUGUGCUCAUUGCACUAUUUAUCUCUUAGACACGUGGCUAUAUUUGGAAUAAUUAGCAUGAGGUAAUUUCAUUUGUACCCCUCAAAAGAUUAGAAAUAUCAUAGAUAACCUUAUAAAAUUAGUAAUAUCAAAGCAAACAAAAGAGAAUAAGAUGAGAAAAUAUUUAAUAAAGUUGAAGAAUUAUUUCAAAAUAGCUUAUUAAUUGUUGAUAGAGAUUCUUAUAUUUUUUAUGUUAGGGAAGAUAGAUGCAUUUAUUUAAAAUUGUUCUGUAAUUUGUCCAUAACAUUCUAUAAUUAUUCUGAAAUUGAUUUUUAUAAUAAAUUUUAAAGAUUGAAUUUUAAAAUAACUACCCAUAUUAUCGCGCGGAUUUACUAGUAUAUAUAUAAGGAGAGAGUAGGGAGAUUUGGAGGGGUCCCCUAAAACCCUCCUUUAAUGUAGUUAAAUUAAAUUAAAUAGACCCCCAAAUCCUCCUUUAAUGUAGUUAAAUAGAUUUGCAUUGUAUUCUAUAUCAAAUCCAAAAUGUCCAAUGAGAUGAACAGAUCAGGUUUUACUUGUAUACUCACUAUAUAGCCUCAAACCUCAUCAUACAACAAAAUUUAACAAAACUUAGUAUUCUAUCUCACUAUGUCCCCAUUGAACCUACUCAUCUACUUCUCUAUUCUUCUCCACUCUUCAUAUGCAC
rnacentral:lncRNA from 1 species